CGUCCCUACGGGAGGCAGCAGUGGGGGAUAUUGCACAAUGGGGGGAACCCUGAUGCAGCGACGCCGCGUGGGUGAAGAAGCGCCUCGGCGCGUAAAGCCCUGUCAGCAGGGAAGAAAAUGACGGUACCUGAAGAAGAAGCCCCGGCUAACUACGUGCCAGCAGCCGCGGUAAUACGUAGGGAGCGAGCGUUGUCCGGAUUUACUGGGUGUAAAGGGCGUGUAGGCGGAGCUGCAAGUCAGAAGUGAAAUCUCCGGGCUCAACCCGGAAACUGCUUUUGAAACUGUAGCCCUUGAGUAUCGGAGAG
rnacentral:rRNA from 1 species